rfam:Drosophila virilis strain TSC#15010-1051.87 Ctg01_5305, whole genome shotgun sequence.
CAACCUCAACUCAUAUGGGACUACCCCCUGAAUUUAAGCAUAUUAAUUAGGGGAGGAAAAGAAACUAACAAGGAUUUUCUUAGUAGCGGCGAGCGAAAAGAAAUCAGUUCAGCACUAAGUCACUUUGUCUAUAUGGCAAAUGUGAGAUGCAGUGUACGGAACAUCAACAUUCUAGUAUGAGAAGUUAACGAUUUAAGUCCUUCUUAAAUGAGGCCAUUUACCCAUAGAGGGUGCCAGGCCCGUAUAACGUUAAUGAUUACUAGAUGGUGUUUCCAAAGAGUCGUGUUGCUUGAUAGUGCAGCACUAAGUGGGUGGUAAACUCCAUCUAAAACUAAAUAUAACCAUGAGACCGAUAGUAAACAGUACCGUGAGGGAAAGUUGAAAAGAACUCUGAAUAGAGAGUUAAAUAGUACGUGAAACUGCUUAGAGGUUAAGCCCGAUGAACCUGAAUAUCCUUUAUGGAAAAUUCAUCAUUAGAAUUGUAAUAUUUUAAACAAUAUUAUAAUAAUAGUGUGCAUUUUUUCCAUAUAAGGACAUUGUAAGCUAUUAGCAUAAAUAUUUAUCAUAAAAUUAUGUCUGAUUGCUUAUUUGAAUUAUAUGCUUGGCAUUUUAACAUAAAAUAAAAGAUAUAAAUUUGAUAAAGUGCUGAUAGAUUUAUAUGAUUACAGUGCGUUAAUUUUUCGGAAUUAUAUAAUGGCAUAAUUAUCAUUGAUAUUUGUGUUUAUUAUAUGCAUUUGUAUGAUUAACAAUGCGAAAGAUUCAGGAUACCUUCUGGA